rnacentral:rRNA from 1 species
UACGUAGGGUGCGAGCGUUGUCCGGAAUUAUUGGGCGUAAAGAGCUCGUAGGCGGUUUGUCGCGUCUGCUGUGAAAACCCGAGGCUCAACCUCGGGCCUGCAGUGGGUACGGGCAGACUAGAGUGCGGGUAGGGGAGAUUGGAAUUCCUGGUGUAGCGGUGGAAUGCGCAGAUAUCAGGAGGAACACCAAUGGCGAAGGCAGAUCUCUGGGCCGUAACUGACGCUGAGGCACGGAAAGCGUGGGGAGCAAACAGG